rnacentral:tRNA from 1 species
AUACACAUACACAUACACAUACAUGCAGACUCAUUAUACAAAAGCAGUGCUAUCCUUAUUAGAUUACUUCACAAAGUUGAAGAAGGGAACUCAAGGUGGGCUGGCUAGCCAGCUAGUGUGUAGAUAUAUUCCUUGCUUGAGGGUCCCUGGACUCCAUAUCUUUCCUGGCUGGGGCUUCUUCCACAAUCCCCCCUAGUCGCUAGACAGUCCAGGAGAGACACUUUAGGGAUCAUCUAUCCCUCUGCCUCUGAGUACCUGGAACCAUAGUGUGUCUCUCUGCCCCUGGUUGACUGCGAUCAUGGGUUUUGGAUGCUAACACUCAAACCUGGUGCUCGAAACACGUCAUUCAUCCAAGUCCUCCAGAGAUAGCCUCUCUUCCCAGCAGUACCUAAAGGUCUUUGUAUGCUGGCAACCCUCAUCCAGUUCGAGUAAGUCUUAUCCAUACAUUCUCCAGGUCCUACUAUGUGCCACUCUGCUGUAGCGCUGCCAUCCUAAGGUACACUGGCAUAAGUCAAGUCCCCCUUCGGAGUGAAUGAGCGCCCUCCAGACAGAACAGACAAGUUAUUUUUCACAAACAUUUUAAGAAAAGGGAAAUUUGUAGCUGCGCUCAGACUUCUUUAAUGUUUACAUUAUACACAUUUGAAUAAUGCAUUUUAAGUCUGUUUUUCUUAUUUCUUGACAAAAGCAAGAGAUGGGAAAUGGAAGGGUUAGAAGCCUUCCUUCCAAGAGAGAGGGUUGAAGCAAUUACAUACAUCAAAGUAAUAUUUACAGUUACAUUUUAGGGGGAAAGACAGAGAGGAGAGUAGUGUUUUUUUUCCCCCAGAAGCAAAUUAUUUCAGGAUGUGUCAUAGCAUGCUCAAGAUAUAUUAAAAAGAGCAACUGAUGGUGCUUCUGCAACCUGUUCCAGGCCAUUUAUAAACCAAUUUUUUUUAAAUUCCCAUAUUCACACAAAUCUCUCUACCACUGCAUAUUUUAUAAUGAAAGCAUUAUAUGAAUAUAAAUUAGUUUUUGAGAUAUAUAAAUCAAAUUAAAAUGUCUGAAAACGACGUAUUUUGGUCCACUCUCUUACUUUAGUAUCUGUUAAACCAACGUGUUCAUUCCUCAUAUAAAAUGACAAUCACUGGCAUUGAGCAACAGAGGACGGAGGUUAUUGACGAUGGGCAGUGUCACUGUGCAUGGGACCUAAGCCAAAAUUUCAGCCAACCUGCUAACUGAUGGUGUGGCUUCCAGAGCUAUCUCAAGCUGUGAGCUUCAGUAAUGUUAUUUGGGAGAGGUUGAUUCUUCUCUAUAGCUGAGUCCUCUGCACUCCAGACAGUGUGAUAUUCCAAGAGCGAAUCAAUGGUCUCUGUGGUGUCUGGACAGCAACAGAUUCUCAAUAAGUAACAGUCUGUGCUCACUCAAUAUGUGCUAGGUUGCAACUUAAGAGCUUAUUAAGUAGCUCUGAACCCUGCCAAUCAGAUCGUCAGUCUCCCAUAACCAUUCCCUCAGAGGCUGGCCAGCUAGUUGUGACAUGAUGGUGAUAAACCACAGAGCCAUCAUUGUCACUAAGAUAGAAAACAGUCAUGUGCUCACCUCUUGCUGCCUUUACAUCGUUAGGCAUGGGUAAUAAGUCUCCAUACUCCUCCAAAUUCAAAUGCCCCCGGAGUUCCUGUGAAGGUGCAUUGCUAAGCUUAGUGCUGGGGCACACAUGGACCAUAUGGCCCAGGCUGUGCAGACCAUUCCCGCAUCCAUAAUCUCCCUACAACACUAAGAUAAGAAAGUCUUGCAGCCCUUCAAGGUAUUUGCCUGGCUACAUUGACAACAACCAUUUCUCUUGUGUGUGAUUUCCCAUGACCACAGAGACAGAAACAUACUGGUGAGUGCUCUCCAACUGAGACCACACUCAAUCAAUAUCUGGCACUGGCAUGCACCAGACAGCCUCAAAGGAGCGUGUAAAUUCGACAUUCACAAGUUUGAUCUGAAUCAGUUAUCCGUAUUCCUAUUUAUAAGUAUAGAGAUUAGUCUAAGUAUGUGCCGCGCUGAGGUCAUCAUCACGGGAAUAGUAAGUUGGGAUAGCUAGACUUGAAUUCAGAAUUGAACUUCAAAGCCAUUGUCACUACUGAACUCUAAUGGCUGCGACUCCCCAUCUAGGAAUUCAACCAGUCGUAGGUCAGAAACAUUCUGCUCUGAGCAUGUGCGGUAUUUCCUCUUCCUGAUUCCCUAAGUCCUGCUGCCCAUUAACUGUUCACACCAAGCCUAUGUUGUAUGAGUUAUUGUGAGUAAUCUCGAUAGAUUUGAAGUCUAGAUGGAGUGAUGUAUACAGUAAGAUAAACACAAAUAUGAAAGCAUUUAUUUAAAAGAGAUUCAAACACCCAUGGAUUCUGGAAUCCAUGAAGAUGAGGAACCAAGGCCCUGUAGACACCAAUGACAAGUGUACUUGGUUUUCUGUCCCCAAGCAUCACUAAUCUAUUCCUGUUGCAAAACCCCUUCAAGAAGGAGCAUGGGCAUUGCACCCUAGUUAUCACAUUGGAUCUAUAGUUAGGGUGAUAUCUCCUGCGAUGGUCCCCAGAGCCUGGGCCUGGCACCAGCAAUCGUAGCAUGCACUGGAACUCAGAAAGGCAGCUUCUCAGACUCUGAGAUCCUGCAAGGAUUGAGGGACAAACCCCUUGUGUUUACAUCAGCACUCCUGUGACUCAGAUGCCCGCUCAGGUUUGAGAACCUCAGUUUUCCUAACAGUUCAAGCCUUAGAGCUCAAGGGAGAGGCUUCCGGUCUCAUCCCUGUGCUUCCAUUCUGGCUGAAUGACAUCAAAUGGAUGAAAGGAAGAGGAUGUCAUGAAGGACUAUGGUGUCAGCGUCUCUCCUAUACAAUCAUUUCUAACCCUUACAUGAACCUCCUUAAGGAAUGAACAAAACAGCUCUGGCCAAGAAGAUGCUUGAUCUGGGCUGGGCUGGGAAUGCAAAAAACAGAAAGGUAUCACUUUUGUAAAGCACUAAGUCCUGCACAUAGCAGAAGAGACUUAGGGACCCAUGGACAUAGGAUCUGUCAGUCAACUAAAGGUCUAGCCAAAUCCAGAGUCCAGCAAGUAGCAGACCCAACACUCUGAUCCCUGUCUUCAUUGUCCACAAAGCAAUUUCCCUUUCCUGCUCCAAAGUUGUUCUCCAGGGAAUAAGAGGCAGAUGGCUGUGAUAUCUCAACACCCUAAAAAGACAGUCCUCACCCAUAGGAGUCAAGGACAACCAGCCACCGCUGUCCCUACGACAUGUAAGAACAGGAGUUGGCUAGCACUGUUGCCUGGCUGCUCUUCCAGACUCAGGUUUUGUCUUGCCAGACACAGCUGCUCUGGGACUUCAUAGCACUGAGAGAUCUCUAGGGUCAUCUACUGUAUCCACUCCAUUGUACAGGAGAUAGGGUAAGUUUCCAAGUGACCCAGUGGACGCUCUGAGAUGCAAGCGUCCACUGGGGUGUCUGUCAUCUUUUGUCUGAACCAUAUGACAAGCUCUUAGUAGCAGGUGCCAGAAAAGGCAUCUGAUGAAAGGGGCCAAGGAAAUGCAAAAAAUAAAAAGUCAAGUCAUGACAGCAUUAAGUCCUGAAAACCCAGGUCAUUGGACAUGUCACUGUGCCCAGAGCCCUUUUCAGUGUCAACUGCAUACUGGAUACUUUUAAAUAGAUGGCAGAGAAAACUCUAACCUGGGAACAAGGAAGGUGGAAAUUGGGAAUGGAAGGCAGAGACCAAGCAGGGAAGAUCAAAGGGAGGUGAAGAGGAUUUCCAACUCUUCAGCCCACUGAAACAAAGCCCCAGUUAAAGCGGAUGUGACAAGCCAUCCUGCUGUCUGACUUGCCUGCUGUGGCACCCACCCAGGUGACCAGCUCCAUCUUCAGUGUUGAGCGUCUGUCAGAAGCAUUCCCUGCUUACGGGAAGAGGACUGUAACUCUCAAGAACAUGCUGCCUGCCCUCCGGAGUUCAUCAACAUAAGUAGCAGGCAAAUAAUCACAUGUAGCUUUCUGACCGCUGAGAUAUAUCACUAGAGCAAGAAGUUGCACAAGAUCUGGGAGAAGAGAAGUCCAGAUGGUUCCUGGAGAGGGGAAAGCUCAGGGAGGAAUGGGUGGUACCAUAUGUGGGGACUUCUCAAGCCAUUUUCCCCGAACAGUGUUCACAGAAAUGAACCAGAUGAGAGCAUUCUGGACUUCAAUAGUGUGGAGUAUAUGUGUAUCAAAAUAGUCACAGAUGUGUUCAGUUGCUGGGUCCAAAAGAGGAAGAUUCUGGAAACCCAACAGAGAAGUUCUUAAGAAACAGCAGGCUCAUUUGUUCAUUUAUCAGAUAGAAAGCUGAUACAAUUUCACCUUGCAUAAAUUCCAUUAGUUUCCCAAUACCAUGGGAUGGAAAACCCUCCCCAGUCUCCACUCUUCUAAAAAUGUAGACCUUCCCCACUCCAAGGGAAUCCAGGGAAUUUGUGGAGAUGUGUAAAGGAGACUACUACUAUGUUUGGAUACUCUUGUUAGCAUUGCAGUGAUAGGACACGGCCUGCAAAGCAUUUCUUAGCCUACAUCCUCAUGGGAUGCCUCGGAUCCAUGCCUCCUUGAGCAUGCGCACAGGGCACUCAUUCUCUUACCCAUCUACUCACUCCUGCUCAGUCACCAAUAUGCCUGAGCUUAUGGGCCAAGCUCUGGGCCCCAGAUGAGGUGCCCAUCUCCUUUCAGGGACCACUGUAGUUAGUCUGAGAAUUCAACAUGGGCUCUGUUCUAGUUGUAUGGUAGAAUUCAGUCAAACAAGUAUGAUGUAUACAUCCAGGCAAUACAGGAGAUUUUUGUAGUCACUUGGGAAAUAAGAAAGGUACUUGCAUCUAUCCGUUAUGCUCUCCCUCCCACAAGACCACUGGAAACCCUAGUUGGCCCCUUUCCAACCACCCUGUGUGUUCCUGGAUUACCUUACUGAGACACAGCUUUUCACAUCUUUCCCAUGCCAGACUCUCUGCUGUACCUCUAGUUACACCAGCCUGAGCCCUCCAGGUUCUCUACCCUUAGAAUAUUCUGUGUGUGUCCAAACCUUAGGCCUAUAGUUCCCCAGUGGGAACUUCCUUUUCUGAAUGGGGUUCAUCAGACUGGGUGUGGAGCAUAGCAUCUUUGGCUCCUGGGAGAACUAAUCAUGGAUUUCCACAAAUGAAAGGAAAGGAGUUGCUAACAUCUCUAAUACGCCACUUGACACAAGUGUUCUGUAAGAGUCCGAGGGUGGAGACAAAGACACUGGUCCUCAGGACAGUCUGUGUGAGUUCAUUUUUGCAACAUGCUCAAUUCCCAAAGCAGACAUUCAAAUUAACAGGGGAAAGGACUGACCUCGGAAAUGUGCGCCCUCUUUCACUUCUCUUUAUAUUUAAAAUGAGUUUAGUAACUUCUAACCGCAUCAGCUGUCUUUCAAAAAGCUACAGAAUCUUAUUCCGGAGUAACCUUCCAAUUUUGUGAAUAGCGGUUAAAUAAGAUGUCGACGUAAAACCAGUAGCUCUUGGGAGCUUGGGUGAUGAAAAAGGAUGAUGAUGUAAGAUCACGUGAAUCACUUCCCUCAGGGUUUGCUAGCAAAUUCCAGGGGGCAAUGAGUUAUUAGUCUCUAUUCCAGGACUGCAGCCCUGGAGACGUGGCUCCGUCCCAUCUCUAUGGGACCAGAUAACACACCGUGUUCCCGUGGAUCCGAAGGACACAGGAACACGCUGUCUGCAUCCUCACAUCCAGUGUGCCAAGCAGAAGGAGAGGUGGAGGAGGGGAGUGUUUGUUUUAGUAUUCUUUAAAAAUUAAAGCUCAUUAAAUGCAUUCAAUUAUUUAAAAGAAUUAAAAAUUAAAAAUAAUUCCAGAUUUAAAAUUGAUUUGUAAUAAGCUUUCGUAUCAGGGAGAAAAAAAAAAAACACAGACAUGGGAGGGCAAAUCUUGAUCAUCCUAUAGUUUGUGAAGUUACCUGCUACAGUGAUGACACCUGCCAUACACACAGGAAGUUCAGAGGAAGGAAAACCUGCUUCCCUCAGGCCCAGAUGUGGAGGGUAGCGGGGAAAAUGAGAGCAGCCGAUGCUACCGGUCUUGUGCUCUUUCCAGCUGCGGCCCAUUUGCACGUGGCUAUGUUAUUGAUGCUGUUGACAAAAGGAAGCCAGAGUAUAUCUUGUGAUUCCCUGGCAAGGGGCAGCUUGCUAACAUGCUGCCCUCGCUGGAGCCCAGGCAGAGCAUAUCAAAUCCCCAUGAAGUCAGCUAGCAACAUCUUUCAUUCGUCACCGUGGGCUGUCAGGCUGCAAAGAGCAUUAACGCGGGAGCCUUUCCAGAGAGCUCGGCAGCUGCUAGUGUCAGGACGAUGUCCACACUCCAUCCAGACAAACCCACAGUUAUCUAACCUCCUUCUUCUUCCGUCUCAGGCAACAGUGCCAGCCUCCCCACCCCCAACCCGUUUUUCCAGCUCUCUGGAUCAUAGCAGCAGGCUCAGCUGGAAGAACAGCCCCCUUCCCUGUUUUGCUCAGGCUUCCUCUGCUAAUUCACAUGCUCACAUUGACGCACAGAGAGCCCCUAGGGUGCAGAAUCCCCCGAGAACAUGACAUACGAAUACCCAACUAUCUCGUGGAGCCCCACCCAGAGAGAAGCAGAUCAGCCACUUUCAGACAGCCUUGGCAAUGAGGAGGAAGCUUCCAGAUGCACAGCCUUCUGCAAGCUGUGUCGCCGCUCUAGGCUUGUGAACAACAAGGAACUCGGGGUGAAAAUCUGACUCUGGCGAGAGUUUGUUGUGCCACUCCAGGCGGGUUAAGUUUUAGUUACAUCUGCUGAGUGAGAGAUAGAGAUCCCAUCGGCUAAAGCCUAUGGCAGAAACCUGGCUCUCCUGCCUCUAAACAACACUCUCCCAUCUCUGUGCAUUACUAUUACUUGGUAUGACAUAAAAACCCAUAGCAGGGUUGGGGAUUUAGCUCAGAGGUAGAGCACUUGCCUAGCAAGCACAAGGCCCUGGGUUCGAUCCCCAGCUCCAAAAAAAA